AAAUUAGUUUUUGAUACUGUUGAGUUCUAUAUUUUAUGUUUUAAUCCAUAUUACUAGUGUUCACUUAGAUAUUUUUUUUUUCGUCUUCUCUCUGUAUGAUUUCCAUAGUAUAUCUGUGUACAUUUAGUUAAAAUGAAGACUAAAACAGAACAUUCUUAUAUCAUAGAAGGAGUUUCUGGUAUGACAUAAUGAAAAUGUAUCAAAGAGAAUUGAAUUAUAAUUAUAUUUAGAAGUCAAAAUUUUAAAAUUAGACAGUAUAGUUCAGGGAAGUAGUUUUUUAGCACUGUCAGCUGCAAGGUUGAUCCUGUGAUCACUGUACUGGGUACUUUGGUCAUGCCUAACUUAGGAACAUGGAAAAUUAUGUCAGCCGAGGCAUUCUGCUCUUUCCCCUGCCAAAGCCAAAGGGAGUUCCAACUAAAUAUUAAGUCAAAGCAAAACUUGAUACAUGCUUAAUGAAAGUCUGUUUUGUUU
rnacentral:lncRNA from 1 species